rnacentral:snoRNA from 1 species
AUACCAUGAUGUGGACACGUAACCAGCAGACCCUUGAACCUCUCCCACGUUUCUUGUAAUAUCUCCAUUGGUUUCUGUCUGAAGCUCAAUAUCUCAUCAAUUUGUUG